AGAUAUGAUCCAGAGUACCACGGGACACGUGAAACCCUGUGGGAAGCAGGAGGGACCACCCUCCAAGGCUAAAUACUACCUAGUGACCGAUAGCGUAUAGUACCGUGAGGGAAAGGUGAAAAGAACCCCGGGAGGGGCGUGAAAUAGAACCUGAAACCCUGCACUUACAAGCUGUGGAAGCACAUUUCUUGUGUGACCGCGUACUUUUUGUAGAACGGGCCAACGAGUUACGUUAAGUAGCAAGGUUAAGCACUUAAGGUGUGGAGC
rnacentral:rRNA from 1 species